GGGACCACCAUCCUGCCUCUGUGGUCAGUGACCUCAAAAUAGGGGUGGAGAAGCCCUCUGAGUGCUUUUGGUUUUCAUCCUCACGGGACUAGUGCAGGGGUGAGGUAGAAGUGCUCGCCCUCCCCCCAGAAAGAGGUCUGGGGAGGCUGCGGUCUGCCAACCCCAGCUCCUCUCCGCUUCCACCCUGCACCCACCUCGCUUCAGCCACCUGCCUCCCACCCACCUCGGGGAGAAACGGAGGCCAAAUCCCUCCUCCAUGGGAUGUGGGGGUCUCUAAGGGAAAGGCUAAGCUGGGCCAGGUCCUGGGUGAGCCCCAAAUGCAGGGCGGGGCCAGGGAAGCAGCCGGCUUAACCACUGCGGGAGGGUGUGCUCCCUGGCUGGCGGGCUAUCCCCCAGGGGCAGGUGCCCCCGCGAGGGACCCCGCUCCACAUGCUCCCAGGGCAGCAGGAAGGUCAGGAGGCAGGAGCCUGGGUCCAGUCCCAGCUCGGAGCCUUGGGCUGGAGGUUCUCCCCCGUGCCUCAGUUUCUCCUUGUGUCAGAGGACCAUCAGCCCUAGAAGAGCCCUUCCCUUUCCUGGUGGACCUGGAGACGCCGGACCCUCCCUCAGCACCCCAAGCCUCCAGCUAGGACCCCACUCUGGGCCUUCUCCUCCUUUUUCCAGAGUCUGCAGUCCUGAGCCUUUGGGACUCACCCCCAUCACUCCUGCCCUCUGCCUUGCCCACCUCAACUCUCCACCUCGGGGGACGCACCUCAUGGGCAUGAGGUGGGGGUGGGCCGGCCAAGAUGUAGAGGGGGCUCCCUGGUCCACAGCCUCAGUUCCCAUCCUAUUUCCUCUCCCCAGUAUGAGGAACGGGGGGACAACAAACAGGGUCCCGGACCCCCCAGGAGCCUUGCAGUCUUGGAUGUCCCAGAGGUCCCCCCACCCCCAGCCCUUGGCCACUCCUCCCAACACCGCAGGCAGUGGUCGAGGCUGGGCUAAGGAAUUUCCAACUUUCUCACGAUAGAUGCAGGCGGGUGCCGGUUUUCAGCUGAGAUGCCAUGGUGUCUGCUCUGGAGUGAUUCUGUAAUUGCACAGUGCAGUAACGGCACUUGACCCUUGAUUAUUAAAUUGUAUUUAUGUAAUUACAGUGUAUAAAUAUACAUGCACA
rnacentral:lncRNA from 1 species